AUUGAACGCUGGCGGCAGGCCUAACACAUGCAAGUCGAGCGGAUGAAGGGAGCUUGCUCCUGGAUUCAGCGGCGGACGGGUGAGUAAUGCCUAGGAAUCUGCCUGGUAGUGGGGGAUAACGUCCGGAAACGGGCGCUAAUACCGCAUACGUCCUGAGGGAGAAAGUGGGGGAUCUUCGGACCUCACGCUAUCAGAUGAGCCUAGGUCGGAUUAGCUAGUUGGUGGGGUAAAGGCCUACCAAGGCGACGAUCCGUAACUGGUCUGAGAGGAUGAUCAGUCACCCUGGAACUGAGACACGGUCCAGACUCCUACGGGAGGCAGCAGUGGGGAAUAUUGGACAAUGGGCGAAAGCCUGAUCCAGCCAUGCCGCGUGUGUGAAGAAGGUCUUCGGAUUGUAAAGCACUUUAAUUUGGGAGGAAGGGCAGUAAGUUAAUACCUUGCUGUUUUGACGUUACCAACAGAAUAAGCACCGGCUAACUUCGUG
rnacentral:rRNA from 1 species